rnacentral:lncRNA from 1 species
CCCUAUUUUUGGUCUUACAAAUGUGGUAGGAUCAGAAAGGAGAUCUAGGGCAUCAGCCAGUAAGUCAGAGGAGUUGAAGUCUAGGAGGCCCGGAUUUGAGAAGAAAAGAGGUUUAGGUGGCUGAUCGAUAGUUCCCAAGCCCUGGGUUGAGUGAAAUUCUUGGAGAGAUUCAGCAGGAUGGUGGCUGGUAGAAGAAUCAGUAAGUUGAAUGUUGCUUUGGCACUUGAUUAAGAGCAGAUUGCUGUGGGCUGAGUUGUCAUGGGAAUCUCACUGGACUAGAAAGCUCACUCUGGGUUUGUGGCCUAGAAUUACCAGCUAUGUGACCUUGAGCAAAUCACUUAACCUCUUCUAUUCUCUGUUGUUUUUUCAUUACUAAAAUGCAGAUAAUAGAAAAAUAAGAAAAACAGCAAAAAGAUUUUUGUCUUUAACUGAGAAAAUAUAUACUGCUUUAUACUUUUACAAGUGCCUAUAAAUUUACAAAAUACUCUCACGUAAAGAAUUUAUGUGAAAGCAUCUGGCAACACUGGUGGCUCGCAAAUGUUAACUAAAACAUAUUCACACCAAUCUUUCAUUGGUACAUUCUAAUGACUAUUUUUAAGGCACAAAGAGAGUAAGUAUCGUGGCCAAGGUUUUGCUGGUGGUAAUUUUAUCCAGGCAGUCUGGCUCCUGAGCCAGGGGCCCUAAAUACUGCAGCUUGCUUCCUCUCUAGAUGGGGGCCCUGCAGUCACUGUUGCUUACCUGAGUUACAAAGGCAAAGGCAUCUGGUUGGUUCCUGAGAGACUGAGGACAGCUACUCGGAGCCAUCAGCUGACUUCAGGACUCCCACAGCAAUUGCCAUGGCACCACCCCGUACCACUUCCUUGAUCUCACUUCUGUGUCUUCAUACAUACCCUUCCCUGUGUCUAAUAUCAUGAUGUCUUCCUUCUUGCGUGCCAAGCCAUAUCUCUCCAUUCUUUUAAAAUUCUCAGAUGAAGCCUUGGGGCCAUGGGGAGUAGGGAUUAGAAUGGUUUUCAUCAGGCUUUCAGGAUUACUUAAGGAACAAAACAAAACAACAACAAACCCCUUGUUCAUUUUAUUGGCACAGGCGCAGACUCUGGGACCCUUAGACCUACUCGGAAGACUCUCGAAAGACAAGAAGUUCAGGAAUUUAUAGCCUGAAAAGUGAGGCAUCUGUGACUUUAGAUGGUUUGUAAGGGUAUCUUAUUUGAUAGCAGCCAAUAAAGAAGGAGACAGUGCCAGAUCAGAUAAGAAGAAAGAACAUCUCCGGCCAGAAUUAAAAAGGCUAUUUUGGGAUAUGUCAAAAGGAGUCAAGCUAGAUUGAAAAAGACUGCAGAGGUGAUUAAAUAGGUGAGAACAAAGAGAACACUUCCUGAGUUCUGGUUAAGAAGGGAACAAUUCUUAAUCAUCUUUUAAUUGUACUUCAUAAUUAGCCAAGUCACAAAUGCCAUGGCUGGGAUUAAAAGAUCUUUCAUAAGGCAGAAACUGUGAUGAAUUUUUGCUAGGGAAAGUGCUGGGGGUUGGGGGAUGGUGUGAGUGCUGAAGCCCUUUCAAUUUGUGUAACGAUUUGAGAAACUAGGUUUUAUAAGCAUAUUUGUUCAUAAAGCACAUUUUGAAAGAUACUGUUGUUCUAUUUUUGCCUUUUUUCUCUUUCCAAAGGAAAUGAAAACCAGCAAUGGAAAUUUUUCCAGAGGAACAAAAUCUCAACAAACAGUGAAGCAAAUAGCCACUGGAAAUUGCUUAUGAAGCUCCUAGAGAUAAUGGAUAUAUGAUAUCACAGCAAUGUUACAACAUCUUCAAUGACAAGUGGCAAAGAGUAAGAAAAUGCUGAAGUUACAUCUGAGUGAGUUAUUCCAUACUAAAUAUUCUUAAUUGGUAUCACAGAAGGCAUGGAAAACAGGUUAAUUACUUACAGAAAUAAAACAAUAAAAUCACCUCUAACAAGCAUGCAUAUAAUAUAUCAAUGUACAGUUUCUGCUGGAAAAGCAAAGACUUUCCAAAUAAGAGAGAGUUAAGAAAAAGUCUGUGAGAAAAAUAAUAAUACUUCUGAAUAAAUUG